rnacentral:lncRNA from 1 species
CAUUUGUGACGAUUAUCAUCACGGACACAUGCGCAGAGGCUGAGAACCCCUCAGCCUCCAGACCCCCACAAAGAAGAUAGGAGCUGCGGUCCAUGGUCACAGGCAUUUCUUGACUUGCUCUGUUUGGCUGACCAAGACUGCUUGAAGGUCCUGGAGUCCUUAGAGCUCAUCCACCUAAGAGCUCAUCUAGUGUCCAGGAGUGAGAUCUGAGUGGGCUGAUGGACUAGGAGGACAGCACCGGCGAGAGAAAAAAAGAGCGGAAGCUUCUCCUCCAGCCUGUUUGAAGCUCCAGCAGCCUCGCCUCCCGGGAUUGGCAGGAGCAUCUGUGCCCUGCCCCUCUUCAAAAGAUGACUUUACAUCCUAGUGUCGCUCCCAUUUUAACGUUAGCUCCCCUUAAAAUGUAGAUUGGGAAGACACCAGAGAACAGACUCUAAAAGCAAGUAACUGUCCUUUCUGACUUUGCUCGUUCACAUGAGACUCCUUGCAGAGCUGUAGCCCUCGUGGUACAUGAUGCCUUCAGGGCUGAGGUCUCCUCGGGGACAAAUUCACACCAGCUACCUGCUCUGAUUAUUUUUAUAAAAGGUCAAUUCUUUAUAUACCCAUUGAGCAAUUGAACACUAAGCACUACUCUUCCCCCCCAAAAAACUCUUGAGUUUCAUUCUAGCACCUUAUUUUAAAACUAAGGACAUGUCUUAGCAGAUAAGUCUUCACAACAGAAGACUCAACAGUCAUAAACAGGAAGCCGGAUGGUUCGCAGAUGGUUCCCGUCUGUCCUUCUGCCAAGGACGGACUGACUCCUCUGGACUUGGAGUAGCCCAGAGAAGACCCCAGUGGGAUGUUCUACAAGAGUGCAUAGCCUAAGACCACAGUCCUUAAAAUAAUCACUUCCAGAUAAUAGGAAAUUCCUUCAAAAGGUGAGAUUCUAAUCAUGGAAGGCCUGUAAACACAGGAAUUGGAAGUAUGUCUGGGCAGAAAUUGAAUUCAGUUUCUGAGAAGACUUUUCAUAUCCAAAUGUUUUUCAAACCAAUGGGCCAUGGUAUUGAUUUAAAGAAGCAGUGUUUGUAUUUUAAUAAUGAACUAGAACUCAC